rnacentral:rRNA from 1 species
AGCGUUCUGUAAGCCUGCGAAGGUGGCCUGUGAGGGUUGCUGGAGGUAUCAGAAGUGCGAAUGCUGACAUAAGUAACGAUAAAGCGGGUGAAAAGCCCGCUCGCCGGAAGACCAAGGGUUCCUGUCCAACGUUAAUCGGGGCAGGGUGAGUCGACCCCUAAGGCGAGGCCGAAAGGCGUAGUCGAUGGGAAACGGGUUAAUAUUCCCGUACUUGGUGUUACUGCGAAGGGGGGACGGAGAAGGCUAUGUUGGCCGGGCGACGGUUGUCCCGGUUUAAGCGUGUAGGUGUGUGUUCCAGGUAAAUCCGGUU